rnacentral:tRNA from 1 species
GGGGGUAUAGCUCAAGUGGUAGAGCGCAUGCUUAGCAUGCGUGAGGUCUUGGGUUUAACCCCCAGUAUUUCCU